rnacentral:rRNA from 1 species
AGUGAACGCUGGCGGUAGGCCUAACACAUGCAAGUCGAACGGCAGCACAGUAAGAGCUUGCUCUUACGGGUGGCGAGUGGCGGACGGGUGAGGAAUACAUCGGAAUCUACUUUUUCGUGGGGGAUAACGUAGGGAAACUUACGCUAAUACCGCAUACGACCUACGGGUGAAAGCAGGGGAUCUUCGGACCUUGCGCGAUUGAAUGAGCCGAUGUCGGAUUAGCUAGUUGGCGGGGUAAAGGCCCACCAAGGCGACGAUCCGUAGCUGGUCUGAGAGGAUGAUCAGCCACACUGGAACUGAGACACGGUCCAGACUCCUACGGGAGGCAGCAGUGGGGAAUAUUGGACAAUGGGCGCAAGCCUGAUCCAGCCAUACUGCGUGGGUGAAGAAGGCCUUCGGGUUGUAAAGCCCUUUUGUUAGGAAAGAAAAGCAGCAGGUUAAUACCCCGCUGUUCUGACGGUACCCAAAGAAUAAGCACCGGCUAACUUCGUG